UACAACCCUACCACCAGGAAAACUAGCCGUUACACAGAGCGUCCAAAAUCUUCAACGUUCCUUUUCUUCAUCUAUUCCCCAUUUCAUCGAUCAAUCAAAGAAACCCAAUUCUAUCUUCGUCUCUCUCCUUAUCAAACAUUCAAAAUCUCCAAUUUCUUUUAUUUUCUCCACUGAUUCAUUUGUGUUUUCAGCUGUUUCUUUUUUCCCAUGGAUUUCAGCACCAAAUGUUCAAAAUCAGUUACCCCGGUGAAAGAUACUCAUGGGUUUCAAACCAAGAUUCAAGAAAUCUCCAAAAUUUCUGAGAAUUCAAACCCCAACGUUUCAUAUUCAAGCCCUGGUGCAAAACCCACAAAUUCCCCACUGAUCAAAUCUGCAAAAUCCCAAAAAACAGCAUCAAAGAAUCCAAUUAUCAAUCACAAUGCGGUCCCUUACUCCCCUAGAAACAAGAUUAGGGAAAGGAAGUUUGUGGUGGCAAAGAAGAAUUCAAGGAAGGGGAAAGUGAAUUCAACUUCAACGGUGGACUGCAAAUGCAAAGAGAAAUUUGGAGGUAAUUUAAUCAAGUGUCUGUGUGUUGCCUAUGAGACAUUAAGAGCUUCCCAGGAAGAGUUUUUUAAGAAUCGAGAUGGCAUCGAACAGAAAAACGAAAUGGAUAAAGGAAAAACCAGUGAUUAUAAAGAUGAAAGUGAAGGUGAAGAGGAGGAGAUAGAGAAGGGAUUUACGGGUCAAAAGGAUGAGACUGAAAGUGGGUAUGGUUCGGAUAAUCAAAGUUUGGGUGAGAGUGAGCAAUCAGGUCAAGUGGGUAUUUCUACAAUUAAAAGAAGAAGAGACAAGCUACUGGAACAAGCAAGAAAUAGUGUACCUGAAUCUGGGAUGGUGAUGCAUCUGGUUAAGGCUUUUGAGCAGCUACGAACGAUACCAGAUGCGAAGGACUCUGAUAAGAAGGAAGAGGAGAAGAUUAAGGAGGAGAAGAAGAAAGUAACGCAAUGGGCACUGCCCGGAUUACAGUAUCCUAAAGUGCCAGAGAUUCAGACUAAUUAUUCAUGUACAUUGCCUGAAUUCCAGUCUUCUAACGUGGCCGAAAUGCAGGAUUCUCCUUCUUCAUUAUGCCCAUCGGAUUUGUUUCUGACUUCUGAGAAUCUGGGUUUGGAUCCAAGGCUUUCUGUUUCCUCAUCGUCGGACAGCAGUCAAGGCAGUAUUUCUAGCAGGACUUCUAAUGGAGGUCGGAGAAGCCGAAGAAAUAGCUCCGAGUCAUGUGGAACAAUGGGUGGGAGGAGAUGGAAGAAGAAGCAACUGAAGAUCACAUGUCAAAAGCCAUUUAAGCUAAGGACAGAGCAAAGAGGAAGAAUGAAGGAGGAGGAGUUCAUGAAAAAGUUACAGGAAACGAUGACUGAAGAGGACAAGCAGCGGAUUCCUAUCGCGCAAGGCCUUCCUUGGACAACAGAUGAACCAGAGGUGAGUUUGUCAAUUGCUAAAAUCAAGUGGGAAUACAGAGGUGGGGCUUUAUAAUCUAAACAAAAUUAAGUCAAUUUAUUUUUUUCUUGUCUUGCUCUGAAUACUAUUUUGCUACAAAGAGCUCAUUCAACUCAUAUAUAUAAAUAUAUAUAUAUAGAUGUUAAACUCACAUGAGUGUGCAUUAAAAUAAAUGAUUAUCUUAUGCAUCCUUAGUUAUGAGAAAAUAUGCACUUAAACCUUUGUUUUGUUUUGUUCAUACUUGAGCUUGGUCUAUGUUAUUUCAGUGUCUAAUCAAACCUCUAGUAAGAGAGAACACCAGGCCCAUUGACCUUAAGCUACAUAGUGAUAUUCGGGCAGUGGAGCGAGCUGAGUUUGACCAGCAGGUAAUUUUUUUUAACUACUUUAGUAUUCUUGCAAAUAUAUUUAUGCUUUACUCUCUCUUUAUGGUUAAAUUUCUAGUAGCUAAAUAAAGUUUGAAUUCUGGUUGGGAAUGAUCUUGCUAGUUGGGAUGCAUCAAUCCUUGAAAGUUAACAGUUUGUGUGAUAUCAGGUAGCUGAGAAGUUGAGCCUUAUUGAGCAAUACAAGAUGGAAAGAGAAAGGCAGCAAAAGGUAAUUCAAAUAUAAAAGGCAUGAUAUUGAGUUAUUGGUGUUUCCUGACUAAAAUAUUUACACUAGUCUUUUUCCUCCUGUAGAUGGCAGAAGAGGAAGAAAUAAGCAGAUUGAGGAAGGAGCUUGUUCCAAAAGCACAACCUAUGCCCUAUUUCGACCGGCCCUUCAUUCCCAGAAGGUAAAGGUUUAUCUGGUUUGUUUAUUUGGAAGUUUAAGGAAUGCCUCACCCAGAAUGAAGCAUUUAUUUAUUUUUAUACUCAGCUUAGAAUGAGUUAUACACAGUAACUGUUUUCACUGUUAUUAUGUACAACAGGGCAAGGUAUGCAGAACCUUUUCUUGUUAAUUAAAAACCAUAGCAUGUGCAUGUCUUCAGUUUGGCUCAUGUCUUGUGCCAUAUGAAGCUUUCUUUUGCUGAGUGAGCUAAUCUGUUGCAAUUUUAGUGAAGCAUUUUCACGAAUAAGGCCUUACUUAUGUUUUUGGCUUGAGUGAAGGUCAAUGAAGCAUCCAACUGUGCCUAAAGAGCCAAAGUUUCACAUACCGCAACAUAAGAAGAUUAAAUGCUGUUUAUCAUGGAACGACCUCAGCACCUUUACUUACCAACAGUGAAGCAACAAAAGGCCAAGAUAUAAGAAUAGAAGCAUUUCAGACAUCAUCAUUCCUUGUCAUGAUUCUUUUCUUGUAUCAUCUGUACAUGAAGCAAACAAUUUAGUUGCAAUUCAAACCUUUGGUUUGUUUAUAGUGAAAUUAUGAAAAAUCCUGGGGGGGAUUUGAAUGAAUUUCUCUUCAUUUUGCUUGUCCCAGCUUCCACUGUCGAACUAUAAAUGCAGUGGUUGUGUUGUUCUUUGCUGGGUAUGGGAUAGCUCAUAGACAAUUGUAAUUCAUCAUGGACAAGAUUUACUCAAACAUAAAAUAAGCUAAGGCUUUUUCAGCCUAUAAAAUGUAACCUACAUUUAUAGUUGCAAACAAUUCAUUAAGUCUGAU
rnacentral:misc_RNA from 1 species